rnacentral:rRNA from 1 species
GAUGAACGCUGGCGGCGUGCCUAAUACAUGCAAGUCGAGCGAACAGACGAUGAGCUUGCUCCUCUGACGUUAGCGGCGGACGGGUGAGUAACACGUGGAUAACCUACCUAUAAGACUGGGAUAACUUCGGGAAACCGGAGCUAAUACCGGAUAAUAUAUUGAACCGCAUGGUUCAAUAGUGAAAGACGGUUUUGCUGUCACUUAUAGAUGGAUCCGCGCCGCAUUAGCUAGUUGGUAAGGUAACGGCUUACCAAGGCAACGAUGCGUAGCCGAGGUGAGGGGGUGAUCGGCCACACUGGAACUGAGACACGGUCCAGACUCCUACGGGAGGCAGCAGUAGGGAAUCUUCCGCAAUGGGCGAAAGCUUGACGGAGCAACGCCGCGUGAGUGAUGAAGGUCUUCGGAUCGUAAAACUCUGUUAUUAGGGAAGAACAAAUGUGUAAGUAACUAUGCACGUCUUGACGGUACCUAAUCAGAAAGCAACGGCUAACUACGUG